rnacentral:rRNA from 1 species
GAUUAAGUUAUUAAGGGCGCACGGUGGAUGCCUUGGCACUAGAAGCCGAUGAAGGACGUUACUAACGACGAUAUGCUUUGGGGAGCUGUAAGUAAGCUUUGAUCCAGAGAUUUCCGAAUGGGGAAACCCAGCAUGAGUUAUGUCAUGUUAUCGAUAUGUGAAUACAUAGCAUAUCAGAAGGCACACCCGGAGAACUGAAACAUCUUAGUACCCGGAGGAAGAGAAAGAAAAUUCGAUUCCCUUAGUAGCGGCGAGCGAAACGGGAAGAGCCCAAACCAACAAGCUUGCUUGUUGGGGUUGUAGGACACUCUAUACGGAGUUACAAAGGACGACAUUAGACGAAUCAUCUGGAAAGAUGAAUCAAAGAAGGUAAUAAUCCUGUAGUCGAAAAUGUUGUCUCUCUUGAGUGGAUCCUGAGUACGACGGAGCACGUGAAAUUCCGUCGGAAUCUGGGAGGACCAUCUCCUAAGGCUAAAUACUCUCUAGUGACCGAUAGUGAACCAGUACCGUGAGGGAAAGGUGAAAAGCACCCCGGAAGGGGAGUGAAAUAGAACCUGAAACCGUGUGCUUACAAGUAGUCAGAGCCCGUUAAUGGGUGAUGGCGUGCCUUUUGUAGAAUGAACCGGCGAGUUACGAUUUGAUGCAAGGUUAAGCAGUAAAUGUGGAGCCGUAGCGAAAGCGAGUCUGAAUAGGGCGUUUAGUAUUUGGUCGUAGACCCGAAACCAGGUGAUCUACCCUUGGUCAGGUUGAAGUUCAGGUAACACUGAAUGGAGGACCGAACCGACUUACGUUGAAAAGUGAGCGGAUGAACUGAGGGUAGCGGAGAAAUUCCAAUCGAACCUGGAGAUAGCUGGUUCUCUCCGAAAUAGCUUUAGGGCUAGCCUCAAGUGAUGAUUAUUGGAGGUAGAGCACUGUUUGGACGAGGGGCCCCUCUCGGGUUACCGAAUUCAGACAAACUCCGAAUGCCAAUUAAUUUAACUUGGGAGUCAGAACAUGGGUGAUAAGGUCCGUGUUCGAAAGGGAAACAGCCCAGACCACCAGCUAAGGUCCCAAAAUAUAUGUUAAGUGGAAAAGGAUGUGGCGUUGCCCAGACAACUAGGAUGUUGGCUUAGAAGCAGCCAUCAUUUAAAGAGUGCGUAAUAGCUCACUAGUCGAGUGACACUGCGCCGAAAAUGUACCGGGGCUAAACAUAUUACCGAAGCUGUGGAUUGUCCUUUGGACAAUGGUAGGAGAGCGUUCUAAGGGCGUUGAAGCAUGAUCGUAAGGACAUGUGGAGCGCUUAGAAGUGAGAAUGCCGGUGUGAGUAGCGAAAGACGGGUGAGAAUCCCGUCCACCGAUUGACUAAGGUUUCCAGAGGAAGGCUCGUCCGCUCUGGGUUAGUCGGGUCCUAAGCUGAGGCCGACAGGCGUAGGCGAUGGAUAACAGGUUGAUAUUCCUGUACCACCUAUA